UAGGGAAUUUUGCGCAAUGGACGAAAGUCUGACGCAGCAACGCCGCGUGAGCGAUGAAGCCCUUAGGGGUGUAAAGCUCUGUCAGUAGGGACGAAUUUUGACGGUACCUACAGAGGAAGCAUCGGCUAACUACGUGCCAGCAGCCGCGGUAAGACGUAGGAUGCAAGCGUUGUCCGGAAUUAUUGGGCGUAAAGAGUUCGUAGGUGGUAUGUAAAGUCUGAUGUUAAAGCCCGAGGCUCAACCUCGGAUCGGCAUUGGAUACUGGCAUGCUAGAGUGCAGUAGAGGCAAGGGGAAUUCCCAGUGUAGCGGUGAAAUGCGUAGAUAUUGGGAGGAACACCAGUGGCGUAAGCGCCUUGCUGGGCUGUAACUGACGCUGAGGAACGAAAGCCAGGGUAGCGAAUG
rnacentral:rRNA from 1 species